AGUGAACGCUGGCGGUAGGCCUAACACAUGCAAGUCGAACGGCAGCACAGUAAGAGCUUGCUCUUACGGGUGGCGGGUGGCGGACGGGUGAGGAAUACAUCGUAAUCUACUUUUUCGUGUGAGUUAACGUAGGUAAACUUACGCUAAUACCGCAUACGCCCUACGGGUGAGAGGAGGGGAUCUUCGCACCUGGCGCGAUUGAAUGAGCCGAUUAGGGAGUAGCUAGUUGGCGGGGUAAAGACCCACCAAGGCGACGAUCCGUAGCUGGUGUGGGAGGAUGGUCAGCCACACUGGAAGUUGGACACGCACCAGACUCCUACGAUAGGCAGCAGUGGGGAAUGGUAGACAAUGGGGGCAAGCCUGAUCCAGCGAUACCGCGUGUGUGAAGAAGGCCUUCGGUUUGGAAAGCCCUCUUGUGGGGAAAGAACAGCAGCCGGUUAAUACCCAGCUGUACUGACGGUAACCAAAGAAGAAGCACCGGCUAACUUCGUG
rnacentral:rRNA from 1 species